rnacentral:rRNA from 1 species
GAUGAACGCUGGCGGCGUGCCUAAUACAUGCAAGUCGAGCGAACGGACGAGAAGCUUGCUUCUCUGAUGUUAGCGGCGAACGGGUGAGUAACACGUGGAUAACCUACCUAUAAGACUGGGAUAACUUCGGGAAGCCGGAGCUAAUACCGGAUAAUAUUUUGAACCGCAUGGUUCAAAAGUGAAAGACGGUCUUGCUGUCACUUAUAGAUGGAUCCGCGCUGCAUUAGCUAGUUGGUAAGGUAACGGCUUACCAAGGCAACGAUGCAUAGCCGACCUGAGAGGGUGAUCGGCCACACUGGAACUGAGACACGGUCCAGACUCCUACGGGAGGCAGCAGUAGGGAAUCUUCCGCAAUGGGCGAAAGCCUGACGGAGCAACGCCGCGUGAGUGAUGAAGGUCUUCGGAUCGUAAAACUCCGUUAUUAGGGAAGAACAUAUGUGUAAGUAACUGUGCACAUCUUGACGGUACCUAAUCAGAAAGCCACGGCUAACUACGUG